CCAAGGCAACCCCCUCAAGGCGUGUUCUAUUAUACCCGACGUCUAUGGCGAUGACUAGGAAGGAAGUGCAACGGCCUUUAUGCCUGUGAAGCUUUUGAUGGUGCGUAUCUUUCUGACUUGUUGGACCGGAGAAGGGAGGUGAUGGCCACAGCACUGCUAGUUGCGAUUCUUUAAUCUGACCAACAAGUGUUGUCCAGCCUUGGCAUCUAUACUGAGCACAAGAGAAUCAUAUCUGAGAGAGCUUGACCUGGGAUACAACAGCAUCACUGACGCUGGAGUCAAGAUGCUUGUGGAGGGCCUGACAAGUCCAAACUGUAGAUUGAAAAAGCUCAGACUACAUUGCUGUGGAGUGACUGCACAAGGCUGUCAGUACCUUGCUCUAAUGCCUUGAAAAAAGGUCAGAGGCUGCGAGAGCUGGAUCUCAGCAGCACUGAUUUAGGAGACAGCGGACUGAAGCAUCUUGCUAAUGGUUUGAGAAAUGUCUUGAAUGCCAGCUGGAAGGACUUAAAAUAGCAAAAUGCAGUUUUGGUCAAAAGGUUGGCUUUGGAGAAAAACCCCAAACUAUAUGAAAGUAUUGGAUCUUGGGAUCAAUAAAAUUGGAGACAAAGGGGCCAAUGAACUCUUCAACAGAUAUGAUAUAUCGCAGUUAACCAAAUUGCGGAUGUAUUGCUGCGGAAUCACCGUAUUAAGCUGUGAACAUAUUGGGGGAGCUUUGAAGUCGGAAAGUAGCACCCUAGUGGAAUUAAAUUUGAACAGCAACCAAUUAACAGAUGCUGGGUUUGGACUCAUCUGCGCAGGAAUGUAUGCAUGGUCCUGUCUGGAAAAGCUAAGUGUGUCAAGAUGUGGAAUUUCUACUGCGGGCUGCUUUUUUAUGGCAAAGGUCCUGGCUUGUGUCUCCCAACUCUACACUCAGGGGACAAAGCAAAUGGAGUGGCAGUCAGUUGAGCUGAGGGAGCUGGAUCUCACCAACAGACUUGGGGAUGAGGGAGUCAACGAAAUUUCAUCUGGCCUUAAGAAUCCUUUCAAUCACUUCAAAUCUCUCAACCUAAGCCACUUCGAUCUCACCAAUGACUGUUGCACACAAUUGGCAUCGGUACUUGCAUCAGCGGCCUGCAGGAUCGGCGAGCUGGAUCUCUCUGACAAUGACAUCCAGGAUUAGGGAGUGAAGAAACUGUGUGGGACUGAGGAGACUUGACUUGAAAAGUUAGCUGACAUUGCUCAAGAAGUGUUCCUUACCAGACUGCUGCCCUGAAGUCAAACCCAAAGCACCUACCUGAGCUGCUUAUGAUUGGCAACAAGCUGAGCGAUGCGGACAUCAGACGGCUCAUUGCACUAACAAUGAACAAGAAAUAUGCAUUGGAUACAAUAGAUGUCUCAGAAGACUGCGGUGUCGAAGGCAAAGGUGGAUCAUACAAAAUCAUGUUUGCGCAAUCAUUUGAUCGUACAGCUCAUCGCAUUAUUGGAAGUAAUUUGGUUGUCCAUGUUCACAUGUAAAAAUGUUUUACAAAAAAAUUUUAAUUGUACAAACAUCAGGCUUGGGGUGUAACGGAAUACAUGUAAUGGGAUUAUGUAAUUACUGAACGAAAGGUAACUAUUUCAUGACAGUUUCACAAAUUUUUUUAUCUGAUUACAAGUACAUGUAUUCAAAAUUGGGAUUAUUGAUUUUGAGCCCCAACCUUUUCCAGAGUUACCAGCGCAUCAUUGAAUCAUAGGGUUGGAGGUAUCUGUGUUCUGUGUACAUGCGUGCGGGGAGGGGUUAAGCUACCGCUAACUGCAAAGGCUGCCAUUAGUUUAAAUAGUCCUCCUUUUUUCCAUUUCACUCUGUAUACAACACACACUGACUCAUGUAGAUACGUUUUAAAAACUUUAUUAUGAAGCUAGGCAGCAUGGUGUACAAGAGGUUAGCACGUUUUUCUCAAAGUUCUGAGGUUUUGGAUUUGAAUCCCGAGUGCUCUGUCUUCCUCCUGUUCCCGCAUUCCUAAAACAUGCAUAUUAAAAAUGUACAGAAUAAAACAGAAAAUAUACAUCCAUAUACAGUAUAUUUUAUUAGGCGGCACGUUGACCGACUGGUUAGCACAUCUGCCUCAUGGUUCUGAGAACCCCGGUUUAAAUCCGGCCUCGCCUGUGUGGAGUUUGCAUGUUCUUCCUGUGUCUGUGUGGGUUUUCUCCAGAUACUCUGGUUUCCUCCCACAUACCAAAAACAUGUAUGGUAGAUUAAUUGGAGACUCUAAUUCGCCCGUAGGUGUGAAUGUCAGUGCAAAUGGUUGUUUGUUUAUAUGUGCCCUGCGAUUGGCUGGUGACCUGUUCAGGGUGUGCCUCUCUCUCAGAGAUAACUGGGAGAGACUCCAGCACACCAGUGACCCGAGUGAGGAUAAGCAGUUCAGAAAAUGGAUGGAUGAAUAUAUUUUAUUGAUGUUGAAUUUUCAUCCAUCCAUCUAUUUUCUUCCCCUUAUCUUAGGCCGGGUCGUGGGGGCAGUAGCUUUAGACUGACUUCCCAGACUUCCUUCUCCCCAGCCACUUCAUGCAUCUCUUUCGGUGGGAUCCUGAGGCAGGCCAGCCGGGAGACAUAGUCUCUCCAGUGUGUCCUGGGUCGACACCGGGGUCUCCACCUGGUGGGACGUGCCCGGAACACCUCACCAGGGAGGCAUCCUAAUCAGAUGCCCGAGCCACCUCAUCUGGCUCCUCUCAGUGCAGAAGAGCAGCGGCUCUACUCUGUGCCCCUCCCGGAUGAGCUUCUCACCCCCUAGCUCCAAGAGAGAGCCCGGACACCCUGCGAAAGAACCUAAUUUCGGCCGCUUGUAUCCGGGAUCUUGUUCUUUCGGUCACGACUCACAGCUCGUGACCAUAGGUGAGGGUAGGAACAUAGAUCGACCGGUAAAUUGAGAGCUUCGCCUUUCGGCUUAGCUCCUUCUUUACCACAACAGACCGAUAAAAACGCUACACCGAUCCAUCCGCCUGUCAAUAUCCCGUUCCAUUCUUCCCUCACUCGUGAACAAGACCCCAAGAUACUCCUCCAUUUGGGGCAGGAUCUCAUCCCAGACCCCGGAUAGGGCACUCCAACCUUGUCUGACUGAGGACCAUGGUCUCAGAUUCGGAGGUGCUGAUUCUCAUCCCAGCCGCUUCACACUGCGCUGCGAACCGCUCCAUUGAGUGUUUGAGAUCAUGGCUCGAUGAAGCCAACAGAACCACAUCAUCUGCAAAAAGCAAAGCUGCAACAGUGAGGCCACCAAACCGGACCCCUCUACGCCUCAACUGCGCCGAGAAAUUCUGUCCAUAAAAGUUAUGAACAGAAUCGGUGACAAAGGGCAGCCUUGGCCGAGUCCAACCCUCACCGGAAACAAGUCCGAUUUACUGCCAGCAAUGCGGCCCAAACUCUGGUCGUACAGGGACCUAUAUCAGGGGGUUCGGUACCCCAUACUCCCGAAGCACCCCCCACAGGACUCCCCGAAGGACACGUUCGGAAGCUUUCUCCAAGUCCCCAAAACACAUGUAGACUGUUUGGGCGAACUCCCAUGCACCCUCGCGGACCCUGCCGAGGGUGUAGAGCUGGUCCACUGUUCCACGGCCAGGACGAAACCCAUACUGCUCCUCCUGAAUCUGAGAUUCAACUUCCCGACGGACCCUCCUCUCCAGCACUCCUUAAUAUACCUUACCAGGGAGGCUGAGGAGUGUCGCCUCUGCAAUGAUGGAGCGGAACAUGGUCCACUCGGACUCAGUGUCCCCCGCCUCACCUGAGAUGUGGGUGAAGUUCUGCCAGACGUGCGAGUUGAAACUCCCUCUGACGGGAUUCUGCCAGACGUUCCCAGCAGACCUUCACAAUACGUUUGGGCCUGCUAGGUCGGACCGGCAUGUUCCCCCACCAUCGGAGCCUACUCACCACCAGGUGGUGAUCAGUUGACGCCUCCGCCCCUUUCUUCACUCGUGUGUCCAAGACAUGAGGCUGCAAGAUGACACGACCACAAAGUCGAUCAUCAAACUGCAACCUCGUGUGUCCUAGUGCCAGGUGUACUUGUGGACACCCUUAUGCUUGAACAUGGUGUUCGUUAUGGACAAUGCGUGAUGAGCACAGAAGUCCAAUAACAGAACACCACUGUUCUGAUUGGGCGGGGGGGGGGGGGGGGGCGUUCCUCCCAAUCAGGCACAAACAACAGUCAGGACCCGUCCCCCCACCUAAAGGGAGGCUACCCUCUCGUCCACCGGGGUUAACCCCAAUGUACAGGCGCCGAGCCGGGGGGCAAGAAGUAUACCCACACCUGCUCGGAGCCUCUCACCGUGGGAAACUCCAGAGUGGAAGAGAGUCCAACCCCUCUCAAGGGGACUGUUACCAGAGCCUAAGCCAUGUGUGGAGGCGAGCACGACUAUAUCUUGUCGGAACCUCUCGACCUCAUACAUCAACUAGUGCCCUACCUGGGGCGUGAAUCCCCAAACAACUUAUCUCCUAGGUUAGAUUAGGUUAGGUCAAGUUAGGUGAUUGGCGGGGCCAUUCUAGCAGCUUUAUUUUUGUUCUUUGAAACCAAUUGAGAGUUUACAUGGCAGUAUGUUUUGGAUCAUUAUCCUGCAGAAAUGUCCAGCCUCGUUUCAUUUUCAGCAUCCUCGUAGAUGGGAGCAGAUUUUUGUCAAGAAUGUCUCGGUACAGUUGCCCAUUCAUCCUUUCUUCAAUAAUGUGAAGUUUACUGGGACCAUUUGCUGAAAAUCAGCCCCGCACCAUCAUGUUCCCACCACCGAGCUUCACUGUUGGUAUGGUGUUUUGUAGGUGAUGUGCAGUGUCAUUUCUCCUCCAAACGUGGUGUGCAUUAUGGCAUCCAAACAGUUAAAAUUUGCUGUCAUCUGAUCAGACUAUAUUUGGGUCUUGCGUGUUGAGCGUGCAUACAGGUCAUGGAGUGCAUUACUCAGUCUUUUCCUUGUGACAACAGUACCUGCUAAUUCCAGGUAUUUUUGGAAAUCUUGCGAGGAACACCUGAUCGAGGCAAAUUUAUGGUGGUAUGAUUGGCUUUCCACUUCCGUAUUCUGGCCCCAACCGUGCUCACUGGAACAUUCAGAAGCUUACAUAUGCGCCAGUAACCAAUGCCAUCGUUAUGUUUUCCAACAAUUGCAAUGUUCUUGAGACGGCUCUCUGCUCUUACCCGUCGUGAGAUGUCUCUUGACUCUUACCUUGACAAUGAGACCUUUUUGUAGGCCAUCAAUUAGGACUGAACCAGCUGAUAUUAAUUUUCACUAACAAGGGGCUUGAUUGCUGUUUGAUUUGAUAGAUUUUAGGUGUAUUUUCAGGUCAAUAGCAGCUUUGGAAAUAUAUUUAGUGAGAAAAAUGGUGACGUGUUCAAUACAUAUUUCAGCCGCUGUAUAUGUAUGUGUGUGUGUGAAUGUGUAUAUAUAUACACACAGACACGUGUAUAUAUGUAAAAAAAAAAAAAAAUUCUAACUUAUUGGAACUAAACUUGGAAAUGGUGAAGUUCCAUAAAAGCAAGACACCCUGCAUUUCUGUUUUGUCUUCAUGUAAGAGCUGUGGUCAUUUUACUAAACUUUCUAAAGCAAUCAAAUCUAACAUACAUUGGUCAUACAAACCGCAAUGCCAAUGAAGUUGGGAUGUUGUGUAAAACGAAUAAAAACAGAAUACAAUCUACCAAUGCUUUUCAAACAGCAUUAAAUUGAAUACAAAGACAAGAUAUUUAAUGUUCAAACUGAUUAACUUUUUUUUGCAAAUCAUCCCUCAUUUUGAAUUUGAUGCCAGCAACACAUUCUGUAAAAGCUGGGACCGGGGCAAGAAAAGUUGUGAAAUGCUUAAAAAACACCUGUUUGGAACAUUCCACAGAUUGGAUAAUUUGAAACAGGUGAGAGUGUCAGACUUGGGUAUAAAAGGAACAUCCCUGAAAGGCUCAGUUGUUCAAGGAUGGGGCGCUGUUCACCACUUUAUGAACAACUGCAUAGGCAAACAGUACAACAGUUUAACAACAAUGUUUUUCAACAUACAGUUGCAACGAAUUAAGGCAUUUCAUCAGAUAUGGCCCAUACUGACAUCAAAAGAUUCAGAGAAUCUGGAGAGAUUUCUGCACGUAAGCGGCAAGGCUGAAAAACAACAUUUGAACACCUGUGACUUUUGAUCCCUCAGGCGGCACUCCAUAAAAAAAAAAAAAAAAUGGCAUCAUGUGUUAAGAGUAUUGCAGAGCUGCCAAAUGUUAUGGAAUGUUCGUAUUUUGUUACGGAAAUCGCUCAACGCUGACUCGCUAUGGCCGUAACACCGAUUGUUCCGGAUAUUAGGGGUGAAAAACAUCCAGCGUCGGACAUUACCGGCCAGUAUGGCGCUGUGUCUGGCCACCUUGAUGAAAAUUUCAUGAGUUUGAUGAAAUAAACACCAUAUUGUUUCCCCCCAAAAAAAGGAAAAAAAUCUGCUUGGUACACACUAUUUGAUUACGACCCCCCCAACCAAGCAGCCGAGGUUAAAAUUCUUUGUGUCCAGUCUCAAUGCAUUGUCACUAAUCAUCGCCUCCAUGGCAGUGAAAAAACGAUACUUCUUGCCAUGCUUCUUACCCAUAUCGUUUACGCUAUCACGACGGGAGGCCGAGGAGUUUGUAAGAAAAGACCGAAAAGCAUCAUACUAAUUGCUAAGCUAUCAUGUCACGAAGUCGCAAAAUACAGAAAUAAGUGAUACAGUACACUUGUAACAUAGGAACAUAGGUCUACCUGGAACCACGUUAUAGCAGAGCGUAACAAAGUUUGAACAACAAAAUAACAUGGCAACUAAUCCGUGUCUGGAGAUAUAAAUGUAAAAUAAUUCACGGCCUCUGAACUGGAAAUUAAUACGCCACUGGAGACAUCAUCUGACAAUGGGGUCAGAUUUUAUGUAUAUUAAUUUAAUAAUAAAUAUGUCUUAUAUAAGAUAAGGCGACACGGUGGAGACUCUAAAUUGCCCAUAGGUGUGAAUGUGAGUGCGAAUGGUUGUUUGUUUGUAUGUGCCCUGUGAUUGGCUGGCAACCAGUUCCGGGUGUACCCCGCCUCCUGCCCGAUGAUAGCUGGGAUAGGCUCCAGCACGCCCGCGACCCUAGUGAGGAGAAGCGGCUCUGAAAAUGGAUGGAUGGAUAUAUAAGAUAACCUUCAUUGGUCCCACAAUGGGGAAAUUUCCAUCAUUUCAGUAGCAAUAGUGGAGAUAGGAAAUACUGUACAUUAAUUCAUCUUCCGUACCACUUAUCCUCACUACAGUUGCGGGUGUGCCUGAGAGGCAGGGUACACCCUGAACUGCUCGCCAGUCAAUCGCAGGGUACAUAAAAACAAACCACCAUCCGUACUCACGUUGACACCUACGGGCAAUUUAGAGUCCUCAAUUAACGUACCAUGGAUAUUUUGGGGAUGUGGGAGAAAACCCACGCAAGCAUCGGGAGAACAUGCAAACUCCACACAUGCGAGGCCGGACCCAAACGCGGGUCCUCAGAACCGUGAGGCAGAUGCGCGAACCAGUUGUCCACCGUUCCACCAAAUACUGUACAACAAUAUGGUAUAAACAGCAUGCAAGAGAAGACAUCAACAAGUACAAAGAGAAAUCUAGUGUCCAUGUAUAAACUAUCCAAUUCAGUCUGUCAGCGAUGUUAUUUGUAUGUUUGCAAAAUAGAGUGCUGAGUUUUAAUUCACUUUUGAGAUCUGAUUAAUCUGAUUUAAAACUUUUUUUUUUUACUUAGGUUGAAAACAGAAUUGAUAAAGGCGACUUAAUCUCUAGACAGAUACCUUUGACAAUGGUAUGUCAAAAUCUCAUAUACUUUGAUUUAGGCUGCACCUGAGUCCACCAUUACAAGUUUGAUGCAAUUAAUAUUGAAGCCAUAAUUUAUUAAAGAUUACAAUUAUAGAGUAAUGAUUAUAUUCUGCAUUUGAACAGUAUGCACAAUGAGUUUCAUCCUAUUACAAAACAUACUGCAAUAACUGUCCCGCGGUAAUGUUCUUGAAAAAAUUUUGAAAAUAUGGAAAUUCAGACAAAUUUGGACAAAUUGUUCUGGAAGUGAAUUCCUAUGGGUUGGCACCUCUGAUAUUGCUUGCAUGUAGACUCAGGAACACUUCAGAAAACCAUUGUCAGUUAAAACAGUUUGUCGCUACAUCUACAAAAAUAAGUUAAAUUCACUAUGCAAAGUGAAAGCCAUAUACAGUGGAACCUCCAUAAAACGGACGCCGAUAUAAUGGAUAUCGGAUAAAACAAUCAGAAGUGAAUAAUGUGUUCAAAAGUAGUUUCCAUUUGUAACACUGCUGUUAACAAAGUUUGUUAGUUCCAGAAUUGGCCGCUGUUGUUUCCUGGCACUGUUGCUUAAUGCAGGCAGAGCAUGGGACUGACGUAUUUCCAGGUCACAGAUAUACAAUAUGACUAGAUCCAUUUCCAAAAGACGUGUUUGCUGUGUACGUGGUGAACAUGUUGAACAUGGGGCAUUGACGGGGAGGCCAUGGUGAUGAUGGUUAUAUCUGUUGUCUAUUGUGUAAAGAGCGCUGCGCAGACAGAAAGAGAGAGCGGCAUGGUUGCAGUGUUUGUGCUGAGGAAUCCAGCACAAAGGUAUCUGGAGUCUGGAACAUGCUAUUUUUGGUACAGUAACAGUUUUUAUGUCAAGCCAUUCGCCUAUAGCAUCAGAUUUAGAACUAGGAAGCACACUAAUUCCUCACUAUGAUGAGUACUGUACGUCAACAAUGUCACCAUGACCAAGCACACCAGCGUUGUAAGUUUGGAAGUUUUGAAGCUUUCAAACAUUUUCAAGCUUGUUUUAUUUUUAUUUAUAAUAACUUUGCGUUGUACUGGGUGUUUUAGUCCACAAAAAAAGUUUGAAAAAAUGUACACUAGAGUAAUAUGGGUGCAUAUUGCUACAACAAAGUGCUUCAGUAAAAUGGACAAACGGCUGUAAUGGAUAACCCCUCACCCCUAUUAGUCGGUUAUAUCCAGGUUCCACUCUAUGGUAUCAGUAAGACACAGAAAUGCUGCUGGCUUCUCUGGGCCCAAGCUGAUCUGAGAUCGACUGACGUGAAGUGGAAAAGGGUGCUUUCAUCUGACGAGUGCUACUUUCAAAUUAUUUUUGGAAAUCAUGAACGUCGUCUCCUCCGGGCCAAAGAGUUAAAGGUCCAUCCGGAUUGUCAUCAGUGCAAAGUUCAAAAGCCAGUGUAACAGAUACCGACUCUCAGGCUAAUGAUCACAGAGCCUGGCCUGUUCUGCACCCUAAUCCCCCCAACUAACCGCCAACAUUCCUCUGAUAAGCCCACAAGCUCGCAUGAUGUCUGUUUGACUCGCACAGAUACUCAACAGAGAUGAGGCUCGUUCUUCCCUCCUAAAUAUGAAGAUAAGACUUAACAGUGAAGAGACACAGAUUGCGCCAAGAAGGUCUGCGUUGUCUCCUUGUGACUCACAGCUCUGAUGGGAGAGGAAGGAUGAUUGAUGAUGGUUCAACAAAGAACAACCCCCCUCUUAUCACCCCCAAAAGCCCACUGAGCAGAUUGAUGAGGACCAGACACGCCCUCAAAAUGAGUCACUUCUCUGACCGAAAACACUACAACAUGGACUCCUUGUGAUUCUAAAUGUGUAUUUUAUUUAUAUAUAUAUAUAUAUAUAUAUAUACACACGCACGCACACACGUAUAUAUCGACAAUUAAAAAUCAGGAAAUCCCACGCCUUUACAAAUGUGUACAAGUCUGCAUUAGUACCCUGAAUGUACGGUGUGAUUUCUGUGCCAUAUAUAUGUGAGAUUCUGCAAAUUUUGCGUUUUCUUUUUUUUUUUAACACCAAUAUAUGCUGAACCAGCAUCUGUGAUGGUAUGGGGGUGUGUUAGUGUCCAUGGUAUGGGUAACUUGCACAUCCGUGAAGUCACCAUUAAUGCUGAAAGGAAGAUGCAGGUUUUGGAGCAACAUAUGCUGCCAUCCAAGCAAUGUCUUUUUCAUGGACACCCCUGCUUAUUUCAGCAAGACAAUGCCAAGCCACGUUCUGCAUGUGGUACAACAGCGUGGCUUCAUUGUAAAAGAGUGUGAGUACACGACUGGCCUGACAGCAGUCUAGAUCUGUUUCCCAUUGAAAAUGUGUGGCGGAUUAUGAAGCGCAAAAUACGACAACGGAGACCCCGGACCGUUGAACAGCUGAAGCUGUACAUCAAGCAAGAAUGGGAAAGAAUUCCACCUACAAAGCUUCAACAAUUAGUGUCCUCAGUUCCCAAACGUUGAUUAAAUGUUGUUAAAAGAAAAGGUGAUGUAACACAGUGGUUAACAUGCCGCAAUCACUUUUGGAACGUGUUGCGGGCAUUAAUUUCACAAUGAAUAUUUUAAAAUAAAAUAAAAAUUUAAAAAAAUGAAGCUUAUCAGGCGGCACGGUGGACGACUGGCUAGAGCGUCUGCCUCACAGUUCUGAGGACCGGGGUUCAAUCCCCGGCCCCGCCUGUGUGGAGUUUGCAUGUUCUCCCCGUACCUGCGUGGGUUUUCUCCGGGCACUCCGGUUUCCUCCCACAUCCAAAAAACAUGCAUGGUAGGUUAAUUGAAGACUCUAAAUUGCCCAUAGGUAUGAAUGUGAGUGCGAAUGGUUGGUUGUUUCUAUGUGCCCUGCGAUUGGCUGGCAACCUGUUCAGGGUGUAUCCCGCCUCCUGCCAGAUGCUAGCUGGGAUAGGCUCCAGCACUCCCGCGACCCUUGUGAAGAUAAGCGGCUCAGAAACUGGAUGGAUGGAUGGAAGCUUAUCAGUUUGAACAAUAAAUACGUAUAAUGUAGUGUAUUCAAAUUAAGGUUGAAAAGGAUUUGCAAAUCAUUGUAUUCUCUUUCUAAUAUGUUUUACACAAUGCACAAACUUAAUUGGAAUUGCGGUUUGUAAUAAUUUGGUAUUCUUUCUCACUAUCAACAAAUUGGAUAUGGUAGCCCAAGUCAAAGUUCAGCAAAAAUCCACUAAUACAUUCAGCAAAAUGAACCCCCUCCCCACACUAACCCCCACCCUCCUCCCUCCCUACACACACAGACACACACACACAUUCUGGUCUUCUAUAUGGAUCUUCAGUAAGGUACCUUUUAAUGUAAUAAUCUACUAUUUUGGGAAAUAAUUGCUUGUUGUAUUAAAAUACACCCGAUUCUGUACCACAGUAAUAGGAGAGUCCUCCUAAUGCAGUUGUGAGGCUGUAACUUGCAUUUUUAAUGACACAAGCAUUACAGCAUUACUUGUACAUUCCACAUUGAUGUGAUUUCAAAUAACGAAAAGCAAGCACACGAUUACUUAAGAAAACACUGUUUAUGUUCUAAACCAGGUAACCUUAGAUUGUGCACUUGUUGCGGUCUAAAAGCCAAUACGUACUGCACAAUAGAAUGUUAGAUUUACACUUCUUUGUACACAUUUUAAGAACAUCGAUUGACAGCCUUUCAACAUUUUAAGUUUGGUUAUGGUUGUCAAAACGUGGACAACCACUGGGCAGAUUUCAUUAGCAAAUGUGUAAAUGACAAUUCGAUAAUUAAACCUUAUGGCCUACAUUAUCACUGGAUGUGAUGACUUAAAAAACUGUAGUUACGCAAUAGCACAAUGCACUCUUUCCUGUCAUGACAUUUAAAUUACACAAGCGGGGAAAAAUGUAUUACAAUGGGAAUAUGAUAAUUAUUUUGGGGAGUUAUUGGGAUUGAUAUGACGAGACUAAUAAUUUUUUUAAAAAUGCCCAUGGUCAGUGUCCAUGACUUACAUUUUUGGAAUGUAAA